GACUCGGUCUCUGCUGACACCGGGGCCAGCAGCUGUGUGUUACUCAGGAGCAUCCCUCCCAGCUGCGCCUCAGUGCCCAUCCUGCUCCUCUGGCACAGGGGAACUGCUGUAAACAUUCCAGGAAUUACGUUCUCUUGGCAUUAACACAAGGUGAUCUGCCUAACAGUACUUGUGAAGGAUUAACAACAAUAGAAUAAAGAGCGUGUGUGCCUCCAGACUACAAUGUCUGGCGGUGGGGAUACACCAUGCUCUCAGCUCUCUCCAUCUGCCAUACAUUCAACACGAGCCACAUCAGAGCAACCAUCUGAGAUCCACUCAUUAGCCCAGCAUCUGCCAUCCUGCCUCCAACUGAACUUGCACUGAACAACAGCCACGCUGAAAACGCAGCUUCAGAGUCGUCGCAAUCGAUGUGCAGGAGAUGGCGGCUGAAUCUUAGGUUGUUUCUUAGUAUCUCCAGUGCUGAACACUUCUGGAGGGGGCUCCUCCCCUCGCUCGAUCUUGCACUCGAAGGCAAACAGGUACUGAAUGUACUGUUUUUUCAGGGAGCUGGCUGCACUGCUCGAAGUGCCAACGUUCAGUGUUGUUGCAAGCUCGCGCCACUUCUUGUUUUUAUUAACCUAGCACAAUAAAUGGCAGAAUCAUUGGUUUGCA